GAGGGAAAGUUGAAAAGAACUCUGAAUAGAGAGUUAAAUAGUACGUGAAACUGCUUAGAGGUUAAGCCCGAUGAACCUGAAUAUCCAUUAUGAAAAAUUCAUUAUUAUACCUGUAAUAUUAAUUUUAUUAAUAUUAUAGUGAUAGUAUGCAUUUUUUUCAUAUAAGGACAUUGUAAUCUAUUAACAUAACAAAAUAUUUAUCAAAAGAUCAUUGGUUUCAAGUUUAUUCAAAUUAGUUUGCUUUUAGCUUAUUAACAUAGAAUAAAUACUAACGAUUUGAUAAAGUGUUGAUAGAUUUUAUUAUAUAUAAUGCUAAAAUUCUUUGGAAUUUUACAAUAAUUUUAUAAUCUAUGAUUUUAAUAUUUAUUGUAUGCAUUUAUAUGAUUAACAAUGCGAAAGAUUCAGGAUACCUUCGGGACCC
rnacentral:rRNA from 1 species